rnacentral:rRNA from 1 species
CCUACGGGUGGCAGCAGUCGAGAAUCAUUCACAAUGGGGGAAACCCUGAUGGUGCGACGCCGCGUGGGGGAAUGAAGUUCUUCGGAUUGUAAACCCCUGUCAUGUGGGAGCAAAUUAAAAAGAUCGUACCACAAGAGGAAGAGACGGCUAACUCUGUGCCAGCAGCCGCGGUAAUACAGAGGUCUCAAGCGUUGUUCGGAAUCACUGGGCGUAAAGCGUGCGUAGGCUGUUUCGUAAGUCGUGUGUGAAAGGCGCGGGCUCAACCCGCGGACGGCACAUGAUACUGCGAGACUAGAGUAAGGGAGGGGGAACCGGAAUUCUCGGUGUAGCAGUGAAAUGCGUAGAUAUCGAGAGGAACACUCGUGGCGAAGGCGGGUUCCUGGACAUUAACUGACGCUGAGGCACGAAGGCCAGGGGAGCGAAAGGGAUUAGAUACCCCUGUAGUC